UACAGAGGUCUCAAGCAUUGUUCGGAUUCAUUGGGCGUAAAGGGCGCGUAGGCGGCCGAUCAAGUCGGAGGUGAAAUCCCUCGGCUCAACUGAGGAAUUGCCUUCGAUACUGUUCGGCUUGAGUCCUGGAGAGGGUAGCGGAAUUCCCGGUGUAGCGGUGAAAUGCGUAGAGACCGGGAAGAACACCAGUGGCGAAGGCGGCUACCUGGACAGGUACUGACGCUGAAGCGCGAAAGCUAGGGGAGCAAACAGG
rnacentral:rRNA from 1 species